CUAGGAUCUGCCUGGUAGUGGGGGACAACGUUUCGAAAGGAACGCUAAUACCGCAUACGUCCUACGGGAGAAAGCAGGGGACCUUCGGGCCUUGCGCUAUCAGAUGAGCCUAGGUCGGAUUAGCUAGUUGGUGAGGUAAUGGCUCACCAAGGCGACGAUCCGUAACUGGUCUGAGAGGAUGAUCAGUCACACUGGAACUGAGACACGGUCCAGACUCCUACGGGAGGCAGCAGUGGGGAAUAUUGGACAAUGGGCGAAAGCCUGAUCCAGCCAUGCCGCGUGUGUGAAGAAGGUCUUCGGAUUGUAAAGCACUUUAAGUUGGGAGGAAGGGUUGUAGAUUAAUACUCUGCAAUUUUGACGUUACCGACAGAAUAAGCACCGGCUAACUCUGUGCCAGCAGCCGCGGUAAUACAGAGGGUGCAAGCGUUAAUCGGAAUUACUGGGCGUAAAGCGCGCGUAGGUGGUUUGUUAAGUUGGAUGUGAAAGCCCCGGGCUCAACCUGGGAACUGCAUUCAAAACUGACAAGCUAGAGUAUGGUAGAGGGUGGUGGAAUUUCCUGUGUAGCGGUGAAAUGCGUAGAUAUAGGAAGGAACACCAGUGGCGAAGGCGACCACCUGGACUGAUACUGACACUGAGGUGCGAAAGCGGUGGGGAGCAAACAG
rnacentral:rRNA from 1 species